rnacentral:misc_RNA from 1 species
UUAAAAAAAAAAAAAGUAGCCGAGCCGAAGGAGCUCUCACAAAUAGAAUUUGAGUACCACGGAGAAAAGCUAGCUGGAUAAACAAGACAGGGAUCGCCCGCUCGGCAAUGCUACCUUGGGGAGGAGACAAAACACUUUAAUAGAACAUUGAAACUCAUAUUUCAAAUUUCCGAUAUAUGAACAAGAUUACUAUGGAAGAGUUGGUGAACAUUGUUUUGACUCAUAGCUCUAAGAUGACUAGCAUGAAUGAGCCAGCUUCAACACCACCUAGACUCUUAAUCAUAGACAGACUUGCACUGACCUCAACAUAAAAGGAUGAACCUGGUCCGUCUAUUUGUACGCAUUGGCUUAACUCACUCCCCUAGACACUGUAAAGAACAUAUAAUGAAAACUGCCUGGUAAGGGCUGUACAAGGGAACGAUAAGGGGGUUUGAUAAGAAAGAGUUUGGGAAUGUCCCGCUUAGUUAACAAACAUUGAGUUUAGAGUCGGGACAGCAUGAAUACGAGACUAUUGAAGUGAAGUUUGGAAUCAUUGUGGUUUUCUAUCUUCAGAUUACCAAAUCACCAAGGCCUUUCAGCGAUUCGACGCGCCCCCCCUAAGCUAGACGACCUGACCUCAGAGAGAAUAGAAUGAGUCGCCCUAGCCUUAGUCUUACUAAGAGUUUGAAUUGCUCUGUAGGAUAGUAGGGCGAAUGAAUUGCAUUAGUGCGAUUUGGCUAGCUGAAUCGCCCAGCGAACAAAUCGCCUCCUUACUAUCUUAAAAAAAAGCGGACCCGCGCGAAUCGCGUCUUCGAUCUUGCAUAUAUGCAUAUAAAGAAAUAUAAAUAUUAUUUCUUUAUCAAUAUAUUUGAUUUAGAUUCGUAAUUAGCUGCACAUGAAGAAUGGCAAGACAUUGAAAGAAGGGGUUCUGCACGAAUGCCCUGUUGAGAAAAACUUCAAAUUGAAUAAGAUAAGACCGAUCCCAUGAAGGAAACGGGCAUUCAAACAAGAGUUUCAGCUUGGCUAUGUUCCCUCUCGAACAGCUCUUUUCGCAAUCAGCAGUUUCGUAAUAGACUAGGCUGUUAGCAGGAUUCGCAGGCGAGACAGAUGAGGAGCAAU